rnacentral:rRNA from 1 species
UACGAAGGGUGCAAACGUCGUUCGGAAUUACUGGGCGUAAAGCGAGUGUAGGCGGUUUGGUAAGUCGGAUGUGAAAGCCCCGGGCUCAACCCGGGAAGUGCACUCGAUACUGCCAAGCUAGAGUAUCGGAGAGGUUGGUGGAAUUCUCGGUGUAGAGGUGAAAUUCGUAGAUAUCGAGAGGAACACCGGUGGCGAAGGCGGCCAACUGGACGAAUACUGACGCUGAGACUCGAAAGCGUGGGGAGCAAACAGG